rnacentral:lncRNA from 1 species
CUCCAGACAGGUAUUCAGGGUGAUUUUGGAAAGCCUAAGGGUACAGUCCAGAGUUCACACUGGCCAGGUCAUUAUGUCCAUUCAUAACAAGUGGCAGAAUAAGGAACAUGUGAUUGAUGCCCUGUGGAGAGCUAAGUUCAAGCUUUCUGGCUGCCAGAAGAUCCACUUGUCAAAGAAGAAGGGGUUCACCAAGUUAAAUGCAGAUCAAUUUGGACAUGACAGCUAAGAAGAAGCUUAUGCCUAAUAGCUUUGGGGUCAGCUAUAGCCCAUCC